rnacentral:rRNA from 1 species
UACGGGGGGGGCAAGCGUUGUUCGGAAUUACUGGGCGUAAAGGGCUCGUAGGCGGCCAACUAAGUCAGACGUGAAAUCCCUCGGCUUAACCGGGGAACUGCGUCUGAUACUGGAUGGCUUGAAUCCGGGAGAGGGAUGCGGAAUUCCAGGUGUAGCGGUGAAAUGCGUAGAUAUCAUGAGGAAGACCAGUGGCGAAGGCGGGUCUCUGGACAGUUCCUGACACUGAGGCACGAAGGCCAGGGGAGCAAACGGG